AUUAUGUAUUGAAUCCCCUUAAUUUCCUGGUAUGCUUACUUUUAUAUAUUUUGAUAUCCUUAACAAAAAUUUUGACUCCGUCACUGACCAUGUUACAGCUAUAAGUCUAACCUUUGCAAAUCUAUUGUUGUUAAGUAUAUAUCUACUGCUUUGAAGGUCAUAGUGGUAUACUACUAAGUAUAAGAAUCAAAUCAGCAGUUCAGCUACUCUCGGAACCUUGUUCAAGAACUAAGCUAAACUCCUUUAGUGUACUUUGAAACACAAGGCAAAGACCACCGUAAGUAUACUUCUCUCUCGGUACUUCAGCAACCAAAACGAAAAUGGUUAUACCUAUUAAUGCUAGUGAAACUGAUAUAGGAACAAAAGUUAAAGAUUUAGCUGUCAAAUUUGCGAAAGGUCCUCCAUUUGGAAACUUACCAAUGGGAUCAUUCCGGAAGGUUAUUUCCGGAUAUAUCCAAGUUUUCAAGAGUAACCAAGUCUGCAAAUGAUUCAGGUACACGAACUUCAGAUAUAUUCAUUGACAAUGAAAGAUUGACCAAAUUCUGUAGCUGUCCUAUUGAGCUCGGAAUUUGUCCUGAGAAUUGAUUUCUUGAUAAAUUUAAAUUGCUUCGACUUCUUAAACUUCCUAUUCCUAAAGGCAAAGAACCAUUAACAAAAUUGGAGGUCAAACUUAGACCUGGUAUACUACCUCUAUUACUCCAAAAAGUUGGUGGAAUAUUGGAACUCAAUGCAUUUGAAUGUAAAUAAACUUCUCUUAAAGAAGAAAGAUUCCCUAAACAACUUGGUAUUUCCCCAGAAAGCUGAUUUUCACUCAAUUCAAUUUUACUAUAUAAGACCUCCGUAUUGCAUAAGCUUUCGGGUAUGGUUCCAUUAAUUUUAUUUGAAGAAAAUCCCAACGUUUGCAAUUUUCUCAUGUUUCCCAUUUCUUGAGGAAUUGAACCAAUCAAUUCGUUCCCUCGAAGGCUUAACCACGACCACNAAGCUUUCGGGUAUGGUUCCAUUAAUUUUAUUUGAAGAAAAUCCCAACGUUUGCAAUUUUCUCAUGUUUCCCAUUUCUUGAGGAAUUGAACCAAUCAAUUCGUUCCCUCGAAGGCUUAACCACACAAGUUACUCAACUUACUGAUUUCAAUAGGGAUUUCACCUCUGAUGCCAUUUCCAAAUGCGAUGAACCUGUCAAUAUAUGCUGAAAGCUAAGGACUUUGUAAAAUUUCCACCAAAUGCAUCAUAUGCUGUUUGUAUACGCUUUAUGUGCUUGCAGGUCGACAACGAAGAAAGGAAAUCUAAUUAAUUCCCCUGUAGAAGGAUCAUUUGUCAAUUGAUUAUCUUGCAAGUUAAUCACUUGAAGCUGCUGUAAGUUUCCAAGAUUGCGAUUUGCGGCCAAGAUCAAGGUAAAUCAUAAAUGAGCUUGGAGAUAUUGGAAAUGAAGCAAGGAAUUUUCUCACUAAACUGGUUUAAUCCAAGAUAAAGGCCAUCAAGAUUUGGAAAGUUAUGACCGAUGUUAGAAGGUAGAGUUCCAGAGAGCUCAUUAACAGUAAGUUAUGUUGCUCCGACUCUCCAAAGAUGUUGCUGGGUACGUGUCAGAUCCUUCAAAAUUAGUGUAUUUUUGGAGGAUCCGACACGGCUACAACAACACUUUGGAGAGUUCGCGCAACAUAGACAGUAAGUGCAAUCUUUUCUAAACCAGAAAUAUUGCAGACAGAACUAGGAAUUUAAUCUGAUAUCUUGUUUGAACAAAGAUAUAUUUCUUUCAAAAUAAUAAGAUUUCCAAAUUCUGUAGGAGUAUUGCUAUGAAGAUUAUUGGCACCAAUAUCUAUCAUCACCAAAGUCGAUGAAUUCCCUAAAUUGUCACACCUUUUUUUUUUCCCCACAACCCUAUUACGAUGUUGAGUUAGAAGAGUUUUUCCAAUUAAAGUGACGUUUUGAAAAGUGAUUAUUUAUUUGGAGUCGCCACUUGGAAUUGAGUUUUGGUGUUCUAAGUCACCUUUUAUCUUGAAUCCCUUAUCAAAAGGAAGGUUUGACUCCUAAUUUAUGGUCUACGAAAACAGAAGACUGGGUAAGGAAUUCUGUUGAUUAAGGGGAAGGUGUAAGGCACCCCUCGAGUCUCGUGGUUCUAGCACGGUCGCUCUAUUGACUAAUGUAAGACCUAAAUCAAUUUUUUGUCUAUUCUUGUAUUUAAUUGAUUAUGACUUGUCCA
rnacentral:lncRNA from 1 species